GUGCUUUGAAUGUCACGCC
rnacentral:miRNA from 1 species